GACGAACGCUGGCGGCGUGCUUAACACAUGCAAGUCGAACGGGAUGAUUUAGAAGCUUGCUUUUAGAGAAUCUAGUGGCAAACGGGUGAGUAACACGUAGACAACCUGCCGACAGGAUGGGGACAACAUUCCGAAAGGAAUGCUAAUACCGAAUGAAGUCAGAGGAGGGCAUCCUCCUCUGAUGAAAGAUGGCCUCUGAAUAUGCUAUCACCUGUUGAUGGGUCUGCGUCUGAUUAGCUAGUUGGUGAGGUAACGGCUCACCAAGGCGACGAUCAGUAGCCGGUCUGAGAGGAUGAACGGCCACAUUGGGACUGAGACACGGCCCAGACUCCUACGGGAGGCAGCAGUGGGGAAUCUUCCGCAAUGGGCGCAAGCCUGACGGAGCAACGCCGCGUGAGUGAAGAAGGUCUUCGGAUCGUAAAGCUCUGUUGACGGGGACGAACGUGCGGGGUGCGAAUAGCGCUUUGUAAUGACGGUACCUGUCGAGGAAGCCACGGCUAACUACGUG
rnacentral:rRNA from 1 species